rnacentral:rRNA from 1 species
UACGUAGGGUGCAAGCGUUGUCCGGAAUUAUUGGGCGUAAAGAGCUCGUAGGCGGUCUGUCGCGUCGGCUGUGAAAUCCCGAGGCUCAACCUCGGGUCUGCAGUCGAUACGGGCAAACUAGAGUAUUGCAGGGGAGACUGGAAUUCCUGGUGUAGCGGUGAAAUGCGCAGAUAUCAGGAGGAACACCGGUGGCGAAGGCGGGUCUCUGGGCAAUAACUGGCGCUGAGGAGCGAAAGCGUGGGGAGCGAACAGG